CCUACGGGGGGCAGCAGUGAGGAAUAUUGGUCAAUGGACGAGAGUCUGAACCAGCCAAGUAGCGUGAAGGAUGACUGCCCUAUGGGUUGUAAACUUCUUUUAUAUGGGAGUAAAAUGUUCCACGUGUGGGAUUUUGUAUGUACCAUAUGAAUAAGGAUCGGCUAACUCCGUGCCAGCAGCCGCGGUAAUACGGAGGAUCCGAGCGUUAUCCGGAUUUAUUGGGUUUAAAGGGUGCGUAGGCGGACAGUCAAGUCAGCGGUAAAAAUGGGGUGCUCAACAGCGUACAGCCGUUGAAACUGGGAGUCUUGAGUGGGCGAGAAGUAUGCGGAAUGCGUGGUGUAGCGGUG
rnacentral:rRNA from 1 species